rnacentral:lncRNA from 1 species
UUUUUUUUUCCAUAAUUAUUUUUAACAUAGUAUCAGAGCCACCACCAUCAUCUUUAUUUCCUUGUAGAUCCUCUACUUGCAGUACAUUAGCAGAUCAUCCAUUUUUUAAUAGAUGAUCUGAAAAUCCUUUAUUUUUACAUGAAUCCGCAGUCAUUCUUUGCCAUCUUUUCUUUUUAUUUUGAUGUUUUUCUAUCUAUGGUUUCUUUGCCUCUCAGGAUGUUUUGCCAUCCAAUUUGAGACUUUUUUCCUCAUCUGACACAUGUCGAGAUACUCUGCACUCCAAAGACUUUCGAGCUGCAAGCGGG